rnacentral:rRNA from 1 species
GACGAACGCUGGCGGCGUGCUUAACACAUGCAAGUCGAGCGGAGCGGCGAACGGGUGAGUAACGCGUGAGUAACUGCCCCCCUCUCUGGGAUAACAGUUGGAAACGGCUGCUAAUACCGGAUAGUGGGGGAUGACUCGCGUCCUAUCAGCUUGUUGGUGGGGUAGUGGCCUACCAAGGCGACGACGGGUAGCCGGCCUGAGAGGGCGACCGGCCACAGUGGGCUGAAAUACGGCGCAAACGACGCCGGGGGGCAGCAGUGGGGAAGAUGGCACAAUGGGGGAAACCCUGAUGCAGUAACGCGCGUGCGGGAUGACGGCCAUCGGGUUGUAAACCGCUUUCAGCCAUGACGCGGUGGUGGCGGAAGAAGCACCGGCUAACUACGUGCCAGCAGCCGCGGUAAUUC